rnacentral:piRNA from 1 species
UGGGAGUUGGAUGUGGGCAGCCUUGGGA